rfam:Streptomyces decoyicus strain NRRL 2666 P029contig295.1, whole genome shotgun sequence.
CGAUAGCGGAUAGUACCGUGAGGGAAUGGUGAAAAGUACCGCGGGAGCGGAGUGAAAUAGUACCUGAAACCGUGUGCCUACAAGCCGUGGGAGCGUCGCACAAGGAACUUGUUCCUUGUGUCGUGACUGCGUGCCUUUUGAAGAAUGAGCCUGCGAGUUUGCGGUAUGUUGCGAGGUUAACCCGUGUGGGGAAGCCGUAGCGAAAGCGAGUCCGAAUA